GAUUUCUGGCUAACCGUCCUGGCCCGCUUCCUUACGGGGGUGAGUGCCGGUACGAGUUUGCCAUCCUUCUAGAGAGCCAUGCCUACCGUUCAUUCGGCCGGGCGUGUGCGAUCUAGAUCUUUUACUUUGAAAAAAUUAGAGUGUUUCAAGCAGGCAUGUUUUGCUAUGAAUACAUUAGCAUGGAAUAAUAAUCUAGGACUUUCGGUUCUAUUUUGUUGGUGUUCUGGAGCUGAAGUAAUGAUUGAUAGGGAUAGUUGGGGGUGCUAGUAUUCAAUGGCCAGAGGUGAAAUUCUCGGAUUCCUUGAAGACUAACUUAUGCGAAAGCAUU
rnacentral:rRNA from 1 species